GAAAUGCGAUAAGUAGUGUGAAUUGCAGAAUUCAGUGAAUCAUCGAAUCUUUGAACGCACAUUGCGCCCCUUGGUAUUCCAUGGGGCAUGCCUGUUCGAGCGUCAUUUGUACCUUCAAGCUCUGCUUGGUGUUGGGUGUUUUGUCCUCUCCAUUGCGUUUGGACUCGCCUUAAAGCAAUUGGCAGCCAGUGUAUUGGUUUUAAGCGCAGCACAUCUUGCGUCUUUUUUCCUAUCACACUCGCGUCCAUUAAGCCUUUUUAUCACUUUUGACCUCGGAUCAGGUAGGGAUACCCGCUGAACUUAA
rnacentral:misc_RNA from 1 species